rnacentral:rRNA from 1 species
UACGAAGGGGGCUAGCGUUGCUCGGAAUCACUGGGCGUAAAGGGUGCGUAGGCGGGUCUUUAAGUCAGGGGUGAAAUCCUGGAGCUCAACUCCAGAACUGCCUUUGAUACUGAAGAUCUUGAGUUCGGGAGAGGUGAGUGGAACUGCGAGUGUAGAGGUGAAAUUCGUAGAUAUUCGCAAGAACACCGGUGGCGAAGGCGGCUAUCUGGCCCGUAAUUGACGCUGAGGCGCGAAAGCGUGGGGAGCAAACAGG